AUCUGAUCCCAGGAAUUUAGGUGCGUUAAAAUUUCUGUGUUUUAAAUUUACUUUUUGUCCUGUUGGGUUUAUUGUCUUUUGAUAGUUGCUCAAAUUAUUAUAUUCUUCUUUCUCCUGUUUGUCUCAAAGGAAUCAGAAUUUCAGCCAGUCUGUCGUCUGUGGUGUUGUUGGUGGCCUGUGUUACUGCACUCAUCUUUGUCUGGUAUAGAAAGAAAUCUCAGAGCAGUCAGUCACACAGGCAGGUUGAGAUGAAUGUUAUACCUACCUGAAGCUACGAUGAGAAAUACAGGGGACUCCAACACCUUCAGGUAAACAACGUGACAAGUGGGUACCUGCUGACACCACAUGAUGAUCUGGGUCCUUCAUUUUCAACAGCAACAAAACUACAUAAUGAAAAAAUUGUACUUUUUUUGUUUACUUUUUUUCAAGAAGAGUGUAUUACCUAAAACAAUGGUGCUAACAUUUGACAAAUAACUGCAUUAAAGUUGUACUAAAGAAAAUGUCAAUUGUUACAUUUACAGUUAAAAUAGUUACAAUUGUAUUUUUUAUAAUAUCUUCUGAGCUAUAUAUUUAUAGCACACGUAUUUUUAUUUUAUUUUAUUUUUCAACAGUUUUAAAUGUUGUUAUUCCUUUUUACAUUUGGAAUUAUGUGACCAUGUUGUUUCUUAACAGAACAGCGCAAAAGUUUAACAAGCACUAAAAUGUGUUGCACUGAAACUUUUGUAAACUGUUAAAUAACAUUAUUGUCCUGUAGAUUUCCAUUUUCAUGUACUUGGUGCUAUUUAAUUUUUACACUGUUUUUAAAGUAUUUGAAAAAAAAUGAAAAUGCAAGGCAAUAAAAAAUUGAUGAUG